ensembl:lncRNA
CACUUAAAGAAAAGUAUUGCUUGUAUUUUUACAUUUUUUAUCAUUGCUUCAUGUAAACUCAUACUCUUCACAACUCUCAAGUAACUUCAAUGAUCCAAGAGGUUUAACUGCAAAGUAAUAAGACUGUUCAACUUCAUAUGAAAAGCUGGAAAUAGUGCUCCUGACCAAGCAAGAAUUCAUGGAUCUUCUAGAAGUCAUUUCUCUUAUAACUGAAUCAGCUGCUUCGAAAUAAAACUGUAAAGAUUUUUUUAAAAGCAAUCUGUUUCUUUGUUAAAACACUAACACCUAUGGCUGUAUGUUUCUGUUUAUUCUCUAACAAAACUUCUGUUUACUGCUUUUUAUAUUCAGCUGUGUUUUGUAUUAUGUGAUGCAAACAGGUUACUGAAUGAAACGGGAGCAGUGGAGCUGCUUUAUCUAAUAAAUGGGAAAUAACUUGAUUAUUUUUCUACUCAAUUGACCUAUUUGUUUUAUUCUUGUCUAAAAUGUUCAAAUGUGACACAUAUCUGAAAUGUUCUAUUAAUCUACACUGCCAUUCAUCUUUUGUGUCUUCUCUGAAAAUUAGAUAAACUUCCAUCAGAACUCAGACUAUUUAAGAGCUUAAGUUUUCUCAUACACUCAUUAUUGGCACUGCUAAAUGUAUGCUAGUAUUUACCCCUUCUGUUUUCAAAUGUAAGAAUUCUAAUCGAUUUUUUUUAAAAGGCUUGUUUGGAAAACCUCUUAUUUUCCACUCUUUCCUGUUUAUUUAUUUGUUUGUUUACAAUGUUUUUUGAGGAACAAUAUUUCUAUUUUGAUGAAAGACUCUUUUCAAACAUCAAGGAAGUUAAAGG